UCAAAUGAGAGCGACAAAAUGGCGACGCCCAUUUCUUAAAGCGAAUUAACGUCGGGAUUAUAUAACUUGAUAUGACGCCACUCUUCGCUUUUGUUUUAAAUGGGUUAUACUCGGUUCUGGUUCAUUUACCUCCAACUCGGUCGCUGUCACACUUCACACAGAUGCUGUUGUGCCAGGUGGUCCCAGGUAGGAGGCUCUUGAACCCCACUAAUGACUCGCAAAGCUGGUGUGUGAAACAUUCGUGCUGUGCGGAGUUAAGGUUCGAGAAUGUUCCGUUUGGACACGGUUGGCACACAGUGUCAGCGACCAGCGUCCCUGGAGAGGAGAGUUGUUACUGUCGCCAGGCGUGACACUCAGUUUCCUGCUGGUGGAAGAAGGUACCUUGGUGGAGGACGCCCUCCCCGGGGGGGCAAGUGCUGUGGGACAAGCAGGUGUCCAUGUUCUCCAACUGGUAGUGUCCGGUUUGACACUGGCACUGACGGUUGCUGUCGGCUCGGCACUCGGCCGUCUGGUAUUGGGUCCAGUCGCAGGUUGUACAGGGCAGACACGACAUCUGGAUGUUCCAAAAAUCGACGUAGGAGCCUGCGGGACACGGAGAGCACCUGGUCGCCUGCGUCGUUGUGCAGCUGGAGACCAUGAAUGUUCCUGGAGGACAAAAGUCACAUUCCACUAGCGUGUUGGUGUUCCGGUCCAAAACACUGUACGUCCUGGUCGGUGCGGACGGUUCAGCCUGAACUGCACUGAGGCAGAUGACCAGGAGCAGCAGGACCGAGGGCGACAUCUGUGUGAGGCGGAAGGUGACGCUUGAAUACGGAGGGAGUGGCGGGGUCUAGGAUCAAUAAAGAAGCGACAUUUUGUUAUUCAAACUGGAGAAGAAGAAGAAUUGCACUGAUAGAAAAUACAGUCAUCGUCACAGUGAAUAAUACAUUCAUUUCCUAAACACAAUACUGUCACAGAUCAUGGCAUUAUAUAAACUCAUUUUUGUCUGAUGCCCUUUUUUAGAUUGAGCGACUAUUUCACUCCACUCCGACAUCCGACACCACUGGAACCCGCCACCAAACUCCAAAUCAGACGGAGGCAGGCUCCGCGUUCAGGGUCGAGAUGUCGAGGGUCAGAAACAGCCUGGAGGGAGAUGGGUCUGGAGGUCGGCCAUGUUUGUUUACAUCCCGUAUAGUGUUCGAGUGACGUUGCACUGGGUCGAGAUGUCGAGGGUCAGAAACAGCCUGGAGGGAGAUGGGUCUGGAGGUCGGCCAUGUUUGUUUACAUCCCGUAUAGUGUUCGAGUGACGUUGCACUGGUGAGUUCCGCUUUUAUCGUCCCACUAUUUUAGAUUUCCAUCGUGGCAAUUUGGACAUUCAGGAAUGGAUUCAGAAUAGUUCACGUCCGAAUCGUGACCCUUGGCAACUGUAUUUGUUUCGUUUGUUUGGUGUCGAAUUGGCAGGAAAGUUGCAAUGGCAAAAGUGCAGUGCCUUGCAGAACUCACGCCUCAUAUGUCUGCUGUCUUUUUUAGACUGGCCCACAGAGCAAACUAACCAUUUGUGCUGGGCAGACACUGCAGGUCAAAGACGGUUUGGUGCUCACUCAGAGUUCCUGCGCAGAUAAAUGAUGGGGACAAUGGACGUUGUAAUUAUAUUAUAUGAAAUAUUUUAUUUAUUGCUAACAUGCCUUGACUGUGUGUGUGUUGUCUUGGUGAUAAAGUAUUUGGAAGUUACUUAGAAACGCCUGAAACCACGGGUGUCGAACGAGCCCUCAAAGGUCCACAGCAGCCCUUUGGUGGUUCAGUUUGACGCCCUUGAUCGAAACAAAUUGGUAACACUAGGGGUGCACCAGUAAUCUUUUUUUUUCCUUUUGGUCGAAACAGAUUUUUACAGAUUUUUUCCCCUGAGCAACUAAAGUAAACACACCACUUUCUUUAUUGUGAUUGAAUUGAAAACAUUACAACUUUAAACACUAAUUGAAUUGGUUCCAUGGUGUAAUGCUCAGCACUCUGGACUCUCAAUCCAGCGAUCCGAGAUCAAGUCUCGGUGGAACUUCCCCUUUUGAUAGUUGCUGAUGUUCUCACUGCAAAAUCCAGACGCACAAGGGAACGAAAAGUUCUGCUUUUCUUUUCAUUGUUACAGUCAGGGACUAUGUUGGUUUGGUCCUCACUCAGAGUUAUGGCUCGGCAAUAACCCGAAAAUGUUGCCAUUAACAAAAUGUACCACAAUGACCGACGUCAAUUUGUCCAUGUUGGUAAAUUCAGUAUAAUUCAUAAUAAAAGCAAAAUCAAAGUUGUUUUCAUCUGUUCUGACCGUGUGCUCUUGUGGGCAGAUGUGCAUUUCCCUUUAAGACGGAGUAAAGCGUGUGUGGUCACAUGACUCCACCCAUCCAGCCAGUGUUAGGGGUGAACAUUCAAGGUAUUAACGUCCUAAAAUCAAUGAUAACCAUUCACCCUGCGAGGAGCGUGAUCAACAUCACUUGCCCUCUCCCUAAAACACAGGCCAACCACAAACCCAGUUUCAUGCCUUUUGUUGAUGUCUCUGGAAGGCUUCACAGAUACAUCCAGUGACAUGAUCAACAGAGCAACCAGUCAAAAACACCUUCUAUAUAUGCAGCAAAGGUUUAUUGUCCAACCCAAAUGAGACAAUAACUUGAGGGAACGUAUCCCACAAACUUUCUGACUGCUGUCAUGCUAAUUGCUGAAUGGUAGCUGAGGCGGAGCUGCUCAGCAUCCUUCCUGAAGGCUGUCCUGGGGUGCAGUGCUCCGGGGACAUUGGUUGGAUGUUGGUUUGUCUGGUGUUGCUGCAAUCACUGAAACAGUUUAUCCCCAGACCUUUACUGCAAGACGCUGUCCAUGCACAGUGCAAUUUAACUCCAAAUGUUUACUGUCAGGUAGUUAUGGCACAUAAACAGCUUCUUUCUCUUUGGGCUUCUCCCUUCAGGAGAUACAGCGGAUCGUCUUCCUCCAUCUCACCCCGUCCUCUGCUUCCUCGUCUCGCAAACCUAAACCUAAACAUUCUCUCUAUAUAUAAAGAAUACAUGAAAUAAAGCAAUUUUAUAUUGGGAUAAUGUAUUAACUGAAAGCAAGGUUGAACCACGAAGAUGUGGAGUACCUCGACAGAGCACUGUUUCACUUCAUUUGCAAACUGUGCUUUCCAUUCAUCGUGCAUUUAAUUUGCGGUCAUGUCGCCCAGCCCGACUCAGAGUUCCUGAGCAGAUAAAUGAUGGUUGUUCACAUCUGAGACAGAGCUGCAAGAGACAGAGAGGUCGAAGCAUAGAGAGGUGAACAGCACACGAUUCAAACACGGCAGUGAAGGUGAGGUUCCACUGAGACUUGAACUCAGAUCACUGGAUUCAGAGUCCAGACCAUUACACCAUGGAACCUUUCAGUGAACAUCAGAUUCUCAGGUUGAUUUCUCCACUUCCUGAAGCAAGAGGAAAGCUCAUCUGACCAUCAUGUUAAAAGCAACACUUGGAUUUGAACCCUGAUGAUGAAAAAGGCAAGCGUCCAAGUGUUUCUCUGUUUCUUUCACUUCUCCAUGCCUGGUCAUGUCUGUCUCACAUGUAAACAAAGGGGGAACAUCCAAAGACCCUGAGAGCAGGGGAUGGUUUCCAUCCACUGACCUCUGGGUUAUGAGGCCAGCACGCUUUUAUGAACAAUAAACAGCAUUUCUGUCAUCUGUUUUCAUCUGCGAUGUGAAUCACUCGAGAAUGUCAGUCAUGAAAACUUCCUGCAACAUUUUUUCACUGCACGUAACCAGUUGCAGUUGGGUGAUUCAGAACAAUGCUUGUCAUUUUCAGUCAUAAGGUCAGAUCAGAAAAAAAAGGGGGGGCUCAGGAGAGUGGAUUCAGUUUUGAUCCUGAAGUCAUGCGUCCGUCUAGAGCAUGUGUCACACAAGUCAUUCACCGUGUCCCACUCUCAUCCAGCUCCAAAUGAAAACCAUUGGCCUUCUGCAGUGCACCAAAAACUGGAUCGACUGAAUUGUCAAUUUUGUGAAGAGGUGAUGAAUGUCAGGUGCAGGGUGGGGCUGCAAAGCCGCUCUCUGGAGGUCAUUCAAGGGCAAACAUGAUCGCCUUUUAGUUCAUGCAUUUUAUGUGAUACACAUUUAGAGUUUCAUGUUUCUAGAUGCUUAAGGUGCUUAAGGUGGUAACUGUGAGGGUGGAGAUGCUAAUGGUGCUUCUCUCUGCUCCUUUUCCUUCAAAUCAAGUCGAGAUGAAAGGCUUGUUGUUGCAUCUUUGAAGUUGGAUUCAAAUAAACGUAUGAAGCAAUGAGUUUGUUCCAUUCUGGCUCCAAGCAUUGUUGCCCACCAUGAUAUUCAUGCGUUGUUUUUUCUAGGAACCUUGCGUUGCCAGGUUUGUUUACGUCUGAGACAGAUGCAGUGAGAGAGCCACAACAUGGAGAAAUGACAGCGCUGCAAAGAAACACUUUGACGUCGACAUGAGCCAGUUCUCUGUUAUGAGCCAAGUGGAAGCAGAGUGGAGCAGCAGAAGCACGCUGAGGCCAUGAGGUCAUGAGGUGUAGAAGUCAACCCCAUGGUUCCAUGGUGUAAUGGCCAGGACUCUGAAUCCGGUGAUCCAAGUUCAAGUCUCUGUGGAACCUGACUGAUGCUGUGUCCUCACUGAAGAGCAUUCACGUGGCAGGGUUAAUGAUGGUUCAGUGCCAUGGCUUUAAUGAAAGCUGCCACACCUUCAGAAAAUUGAAUCUCUUCUUAAAGAUGUGGUCAAACGUAUUCAAACAAUGUGGAAACACCUAAACCGCAGUUGUCAAACCGGUAUUCAAAGAGCUGCAGCGGGUGCAGGCUUUGGUUCCAACCAGUCAAGAGGACACCUUCUCACCAAUCCGGUGUCUUUAGAAUAAAUCAUUCUUCGUUCUCGUUCUCUCUUUCUCCAUGUGGCGCUGUGCCUUAGCUGGUCAAAGCGCCUGUCUAGUAAACAGGAGGUCCUGGGUUCAAAUCCCAGCAGUGCCUGAUAUGUCCACUGUCUUUUUCAGACUGGUUCACAGAGCAAACUAACAUUUGUGCCAAGUUGACACUGCAGUUCAAAGAUGGUUCGGUCCUCACUCAGAGGUCCUGAGCAGAUAAAUGAUGGGGACAAUGUAGUUUUAUUAUGAGGGAGCAACAUCCAUUGCAUUGCAUUGUUCACCACCAUAUUCAUGCGUUUUACGAAGAACAUCCAAGGACCACUCUGGAGUCUAAACCUUUGGUUCCAUGGUGUAAUGGUCAGCACUCUGGACUCUGAAUCCAGUGAUCCGAGUUCAAGUCUCGGUGGAACCUCUGUUAUCGUGUCCUGAGAGUUGCCUUUGGUCACACUGACAUGUUGCUGAAGCGCUUCCUGCGACUGACUCCAAAUACUGUUCCAGACAGGCACAACCUUUCACAGGAGCCACCUUCCUCUAUUUUAUUUAAUUCCCAUUUCACUUGGAGAUCUCCAAGACCCCGAGACUCUUUAGCUAUACGGUGCUGUGGCUGAGCUGGUCAAAGUGCCUGUCUAAUAAACAGGACAUCCUGGGUUCAAGGUAACUAGUAACUGUAACUCAGUUACUAAUUGGUUGCAACUGAGUUGGCUGUAACUGUUGUGUGAUCAGCUGUGGUCUAAGCCAAGGCAGCGAAUUGUGGACCACACCUUCCUGAGCACAGCACACUUCCACUGCGCCACUCUGCUCCACCAUGAGCUUUAAAGCCAGUGAAAGUCGACAGAAUUUACAUGAACGCUCACACCAGUGCACACACAGCAUCUUUUCAUGAGGCCAACUGUUGACAUUGGCUCUUCAAAGUGGUGUCCAUUGAGACCUGGACUUGGAGGUCCAGGUCCAGUUUCAUCUGAAGUGGGAGCUCAGAAUGAAGUCAUGACAGGGAAGCCAUGUUGGAUUGCACACUCGUGUAGUAGUGAGGAUUCUCUGACCUGGAAAUCACAAAAAUACUCCAGUGAAGUCCUGUGGACGCUGGUUGAUAUCUAACAAUUCCACACUGUUUAUUGAAAUGUAGCAGGCCAUGCUAAUAACCAUUAUGCUAGUGAUGCGGUUUUGUGCCAGAAAGGGAAGUUUUAUUGUCAGAAUUUGACAUGAAACAGGUUUGUACUGAAACCGUUGAUAUGUUAAAUCCCACAUCCAGAAGAAUAACAGGUCAAGCAGAAGUAUAUCAAUGUCAACGAGCACAGGAGAUGCUAAACCUCCUUUCUGAGGAGCCGUUAGCAUGAAGACAGGUGGAUGGAUGAUGGACGUGUCUUCCACGUCGGCACAGACAUAACCGCGGCGGCCAUCAAUCUUUGACCUCAUCCACAAACACUGGUGAGAUUUUGUCUAAUCUGCUUCAGCAGCGUCUGAAGUUUCUCCCCCGCGGUUCUCGCUCCCGAAUUCUGCACGAUCAGCGGCAGCUGCUCCAGCUGUGUUGUUGUGGCAGUGAACAGCCAGGUGUUGAUCUCCUCUUCCAGCUCUGAGCUUGACAGAUGAAACGUGGCUUUUAGCGUUUUGCCGCUAAUUUUAUAGAGGAUGUUGGCCAGCUCAUCACGAGAGAGAGCGUGGUAGGCGAAGAACGCUGGCAGGAUUUCUGCAAAAUACUCCUCUGCUUCUGCGGAACCACACCGGAGCAGACCAUCAGAGAUGCAGCGAUUCAUGUCAGUGACAAUCAUAACCAUGUCCACCACUGUGAUACAUGCUGUUGUUCUCCUCAUCGAGAUCAGCUGGGCGCAUCACGGACAUCACGUGACGCCCACUCCUUGGUCAGUAACACGUCAGAACAUGAGAAAUUCUUCAUCUUUACAUAUACACGUCACACCUGAGUAUCAAUGGCAGGCAGGCUUUUAGCUGGGAGUGUGAGUCAGGGUGUCACAGUGUUGUUUUUGGGGCCAGGACAUUUUGAAAUUUGAACCCACUGAAACUCUACUCUAUUUCCUGCAUUUUGAGAGGUACAUUUUGUGGAAUUAAGGCAACAUCUGGUCUCUAUCACUUUGUUAAUCUUAUUGUUCAUUUCUCUUUUUUGUGAGUCUGGAUAAAAAUAUCACCAGUAGAACAUGAGUUGCUAUAGGCGUGAGUGCUAAUCCCAGGAUGGUAGGGGAAGGUGCCGUAUUUCUUGCUUCUGAUUGGCUGGAGUCUCUCUCCUCCCAAACUUUAACUUUCUCCUAUAUUUCUAAUUUGAGUUAUUUUGCUGAAUAACUGCCAACUUAUCUUCAAACAUUUGCCUCUGCUCAGCUACUUACCUCAGUUGUCCAGCUCCAGGUGAAGGCUCAGCCUUUUACCUCAGAUGUUUUCUCAACGUGAGAGGGCGAGGAAGCCACAACCUUCCUCUACUAUCCUGGGAUUUGCCAAUUCACUCUGCGUAGGCAUGAGAAUCUGCAAAUUACUGCCAAAACACCCUUUUCAUGUGAACCAGUAUGUUCACGCUGCAGUUAGGGCACUUUUUCAAGGGCUUUUCAAGAGAAACGGCACUUACAGUCCAGUUCAUAGCAUCACAGAUCAUUGCACUGUAUCAAGUAAUUUUUGUCUGAUUCCACUUGUGAGUUCGAAAUUUAUAUAAUAAUCAUGAUGAUCCAGGAUCUAGUUUCAAGAAAAGUCACCACUGUAAACAAACGUACCACAUGUGACGUGAUGGUCCAUGGGUCAAAUGAGAGCGACAAAAUGGCGACGCCCAUUUCUUACAGCGAAUUAACGUCGGGAUUAUAUAACUUGAUAUGACGCCACUCUUCGCUUUUGUUUUAAAUGGGUUAUACUCGGUUCUGGUUCAUUUACCUGCGACUAUGAUGCUGUCACA